rnacentral:rRNA from 1 species
UACGGAGGGGGCUAGCGUUGUUCGGAAUUACUGGGCGUAAAGCGCACGUAGGCGGCUUUGUAAGUUAGAGGUGAAAGCCCGGGGCUCAACUCCGGAAUUGCCUUUAAGACUGCAUCGCUAGAAUUGUGGAGAGGUAAGUGGAAUUCCGAGUGUAGAGGUGAAAUUCGUAGAUAUUCGGAAGAACACCAGUGGCGAAGGCGACUUACUG